UCCGGCGACUAUAGCGAAGGGGAUACACCCGACCCCAUUCCGAACUCGGAAGUUAAGCCCUUCUGCGCUGAUGGUACUGCAUGGGCGACUGUGUGGGAGAGUAGGUCGUUGCCGGGA
rnacentral:rRNA from 1 species